CUACCCACUGAGCAACACCAGCCGUUCUUUUUUUCUACUUUUUAAAUGUGAAACCCCGAGUCUUUCAUUUUAAUCUCUCCUCUGGCGAAUAGAAAGAAGUGUUUACUGCUCUGAGUUUCCUUCCAAACACUGCUUCCCCAUCCGCAGGUGUUGUAUUUUAUAGUUCCAUUAAAAGUGUCUUUAAGUUCCCCGGUUGGGGUUGGAGCCAUGAGUUAAAAGUGCGCUGUUUAAUUUCCCCACAUUGGGAGUGUCUGUGGAACUCGUCUGGGCAUUGAUUUCUAACUGAGUUCCGUUGUGGCCAGAGAGUAUGUUCUGUGUGAUGUGUUAUUCCUCACGUUGGUGGAGGCAGCUUGAGAGCCCGUGGUGGGUCUGUCCGCCUGCAUGUUCCGUGUGCACGUGAAAAUGUGUGUUCUGCUGUUGCUGGGGGAUGUUCCGGAAACGCCAUUGCGAGCCGGGUGCUUGUAUGAGCGCAGUCUUUUUUUUUUUUAAUUUUUUUAUUGAUGAAGUUAUUACAUAUGUGUCCUUAUCCCCACAUUACCCCCUACCCCGCAAGCGCAGUCUUCCUGAACUUCUGUCUCGCUGUUCUAUCAGCUGCGGCGGCGGCGUUGGUCCCUCCUGGUAGGGCUGCGAAACCAUCAGGCUCAGCCUCCAGUCUGUCAGUUUCGGCGUUUCACACGUGGAGCUGGGCUGAUUAGGGCGCACACAUUGGCGUUCUGCUUCCUGGCGUGGAAGGACGCCGGUCUCCCGCUCUCCACCCCCAGCAACGAGGCCUGCAAGCUGUUCGAUGCCACCCUGACCCAGGCGACCCCUGUGAAAGGGUCGCGACCCACAGGUUGAGAACCGCUGCUCUAGAGGCUGUGGGGGUUUUGGAAACGGCGGCCUCACCGCCCCCAGAGAACGUGCCUGGAGUGGCUCGUGUUCAGUCUCUUCGCUGAGAGCAACCCAGUCCUGCUUUCCUUGAGCCCAGAAAACACACCGUGUUCCAGCAAGGAGCACAGGCCUGGCUGCGGGCCGCGCCUUCACCAGCGGGAGCGCCGCCUCCCCGCCACGGCUCGCUGUGCUUGU